rnacentral:tRNA from 1 species
GGCAAGAUGGCCGAGUUGGUUAUGGCGCCAGGUUAAGGCCACUUUAACACGCAACAAGCAAGUUAGCAAGUUAGCAAUUUCCUGGUGGAGCAAUCCUCGUGGGUUCAAAUCCCACUCUUGUCA